rnacentral:rRNA from 1 species
UUUGCCCUUAGUAGCGGCGAGUGAGCGGCAAAAGCUCAAAUUUGAAAUCUGGCACCUUCGGUGUCCGAGUUGUAAUUUGAAGAUUGUAACCUUGGGGUUGGCUCUUGUCUAUGUUUCUUGGAACAGGACGUCACAGAGGGUGAGAAUCCCGUGCGAUGAGAUGCCCAAUCCUAUGUAAGGUGCUUUCGAAGAGUCGAGUUGUUUGGGAAUGCAGCUCUAAGUGGGUGGUAAAUUCCAUCUAAAGCUAAAUAUUGGCGAGAGACCGAUAGCGAACAAGUACAGUGAUGGAAAGAUGAAAAGAACUUUGAAAAGAGAGUGAAAAAGUACGUGAAAUUGUUGAAAGGGAAGGGUUUGAGAUCAGACUCGAUAUUUUGUGAGCCUUGCCUUCGUGGCGGGGUGACCCGCAGCUUAUCGGGCCAGCAUCGGUUUGGGCGGUAGGAUAAUGGCGUAGGAAUGUGACUUUGCUUCGGUGAAGUGUUAUAGCCUGCGUUGAUGCUGCCUGCCUAGACCGAGGACUGCGAUUUUAUCAAGGGAUGCUGGCAUAAUGAUCCCAAACG